UACGUAGGGCGCAAGCGUUGUCCGGAAGUAUUGGGCGUAAAGAGCUCGUAGGCGGUCUGUCGCGUCUGGUGUGAAAUCCCAUGGCUCAACUGUGGGCUUGCAUCGGGUACGGGCAGACUAGAGUGCUGUAGGGGAGACUGGAAUUCCUGGUGUAGCGGUGGAAUGCGCAGAUAUCAGGAGGAACACCGAUGGCGAAGGCAGGUCUCUGGGCUGUAACUGACGCUGAGGAGCGAAAGCAUGGGGAGCGAACAGG
rnacentral:rRNA from 1 species